rnacentral:rRNA from 1 species
CAGUCGCCGCGGUAAUACGGAGGGUGCAAGCGUUAAUCGGAAUUACUGGGCGUAAAGCGCACGCAGGCGGUUUGUUAAGUCAGAUGUGAAAUCCCCGAGCUUAACUUGGGAACUGCAUUUGAAACUGGCAAGCUAGAGUCUUGUAGAGGGGGGUAGAAUUCCAGGUGUAGCGGUGAAAUGCGUAGAGAUCUGGAGGAAUACCGGUGGCGAAGGCGGCCCUCUGGACAAAGACUGACGCUCAGGUGCGAAGGCGUGGGGAGCAAACAGGAUUAGAUACCCGGGUAGUCCCUGUCUCUUAUAC